GACGAACGCUGGCGGCGUGCUUAACACAUGCAAGUCGAACGGAAAGACCCUGCUUUUGUGGGUUGCUCGAGUGGCGAACGGGUGUGUAAAACGUGUGUAACCUGCACUUGUCUUUGGGAUAACUUCAGGGAACUGGGGCUAAUACCGGGGAUAAGCUCCUGAUGCAUGUUGGUGGUUGGAAAGUUUCGGCGGUUGGGGCUGGACUCGCGGGUUAUCAGCUUGUUGGUGUGGUAGUGGCGUACCAAGGCUUUGACGGGUAGCCGGCCUGAGAGGGUGACCGGCGACAUGGGGACUGAGAGAGGGACCAGACUGCUACGGGAGGCAGCAGUGGAGAACAUUACACAGUGGGCGGAAGCCUGAGGCAGCAACGCCGCGUGCGUGAUGACGUCUUUUGGGGGGUAAACCGCUUUCUCAGGUGACGAAGCGGGAGUGACGGUAAUGGGUAAAGAAGCACCGGCUAACUACGUG
rnacentral:rRNA from 1 species